AAAAGAAAAAAAAAAAAAAAAGAAAAAUCAGUUGUUCAACUCUCAUUUUGUAAACAAGGAAACUGAGGCUCAAAUAAGUUAACAGACAGUAUUCCUCUUUUAAUAACAACAUUUAUCACUGAUUUGAACCUGUUUGACUUUUAUAAAUAAUAUUGCACAUAUGUUAAGAAGAUAUGUCAUAUUUUGAUAGACCAUCUAUGAGUUAAAUUAUAUGUCUAUUAUUAUAAUUAAAAUCAGUAUCUACUGAAAGCUAAGGUUUUGCACAACCUGAAAGAUUUCUUGUACAAGUUUUCUAGAAAAAAAAUGAAUAGAUUUAAUUAGAAUUUCAGAAUGAAGACUUACAGAAUCUGGGUCUUACUGAUCCAAAUCCUCUGUAAAAUUCCACAAUAUUAUAUUUCUUAUAUAACUCUUCCUAAGGUAUUUCUAACAUGAUGCUUUUUUUUUUAAAAUUAAAAUAUCUAGUGGCAUCUGAGAACAUUUCUAGAAGUUGUAAAGCCUCAAAAACCUGAAUUUUAACUAAAUAUUUCUUAUAUACCUUCUUUUGCAUAAUUAAUAGGAUAAUCAAAGUUUUGAGACCUGAAUCAUGAAUAAUCUGACAAUCCUUUCUAGACAGCGACUGAGAUUCAUUUCUUAAUAAAUGAAGAGGCAGAAAGAAAACCCGGCAAGGCUGAAUAUAUGCACUGCGGGAAUCAAAGUCUGGAAACAAAAAGGUAAGUCACUUUACAGAACACCACACCCUGAAUUCA